UCAGGCCUAACACAUGCAAGUCGAGCGGGGUUUUCGGACCUAGCGGCGGACGGGUGAGUAAUGCGUAGGAAGCUACCCGGCAGAGGGGGAUACCAGUUGGAAACGACUGUUAAUACCGCAUAAUGUCUACGGACCAAAGUGUGGGACCUUCGGGCCACAUGCUGUCGGAUGCGCCUACGUGGGAUUAGCUAGUUGGUGAGGUAAUGGCUCACCAAGGCGACGAUCCCUAGCUGGUUUGAGAGGAUGAUCAGCCACACUGGAACUGAGACACGGUCCAGACUCCUACGGGAGGCAGCAGUGGGGAAUAUUGGACAAUGGGCGCAAGCCUGAUCCAAAAGUGCCGCGUGUGUGAAGAAGGCCUUCGGG
rnacentral:rRNA from 1 species